rnacentral:rRNA from 1 species
GACGAACGCUGGCGGCGUGCUUAACACAUGCAAGUCGAACGGUAAGGCCCUUCGGGGUACACGAGUGGCGAACGGGUGAGUAACACGUGGGUGAUCAGCCCUGCACUUCGGGAUAAGCCUGGGAAACUGGGUCUAAUACCGGAUAGGACUCCUGGCUUCAUGGUUGGGGGUGGAAAGCUUUUGCGGUGUGGGAUGGGCCCGCGGCCUAUCAGGUUGUUGGUGGGGUAAUGGCCUACCAAGGCGACGACGGGUAGCCGGCCUGAGAGGAGGGCCAGUCACACUGGAACUGAGACACGGUCCAGACUCCGACGGGAGGCAGCAGUAGGGAAUAUUGCAAAAUGGGCGAAAGCCUAAGGCAGCGACGCCGCGUGAGUUAUGAAGGCCUUCGGGUUGUAAAACUCUGUGAUAUGGGAAGAUGAUGACGGUACCAUAUCAGAAAGGACCGGCUAACUUCGUGCCAGCGGCCGCCGUAA